rnacentral:rRNA from 1 species
GAUGAACGCUGGCGGCGCGCCUAACACAUGCAAGUCGAACGGCACCUAUCUUCGGGUAGAAGCGAGUGGCGAACGGCUGAGUAACACGUGGAGAACCUGCCCCCUCCCCCGGGAUAGCCGCCCGAAAGGACGGGUAAUACCGGAUACCCCGGGGUGCCGCAUGGCACCCCGGCUAAAGCCCCGACGGGAGGGGAUGGCUCCGCGGCCCAUCAGGUAGACGGCGGGGUGACGGCCCACCGUGCCGACAACGGGUAGCCGGGUUGAGAGACCGACCGGCCAGAUUGGGACUGAGACACGGCCCAGACUCCUACGGGAGGCAGCAGUGGGGAAUCUUGCGCAAUGGGGGGAACCCUGACGCAGCGACGCCGCGUGCGGGACGGAGGCCUUCGGGUCGUAAACCGCUUUCAGCAGGGAAGAGUCAAGACUGUAC